rnacentral:tRNA from 1 species
UCUCUGGUGGCUCAGAUGGUAAAGCGUCUGUCUACAAUGCAGGAGACCCAGGUUCAAUCCCUGGGUCGGGAA